UAAGACGAGCCUUGCUAACGUUAUUCGGAAUUACUGGGCUUAAAGGGUGCGUAGGCUGUGCAGAAAGUUGGGUGUGAAAUCCCCCGGCUCAACCGGGGAAUAGCGCUCAAAACUACUGUGCUAGAGGAAGACAGAGGUCGGCGGAACUUCGGGUGGAGCGGUGAAAUGCGUUGAUAUCCGAAGGAACACCGGUGGCGAAAGCGGCCGACUGGGUCUUAUCUGACGCUGAUGCACGAAAGCUAGGGUAGCGAACGGGAUUAGAUACCCCGGUAGUCCUAGCCGUAAACGAUGAGCACUGGGUUGGAGGGUCCUCCAUAGCCUUCCAGCCGCAGCGAAAGUGUUAAGUGCUCCGCCUGGGGAGUAUGGUCGCAAGGCUG
rnacentral:rRNA from 1 species